GUGAACGCCCUCACGGGCUUAUACUAUUCCAAACCUCUGUGAACCGUGCCCUUCGGGGCUAUUUUACAACCAUGGUGUAAUGAACGUCAUAUAUCAUAACAAAACA
rnacentral:misc_RNA from 1 species